UAAACAAUUAAAAUGCAAUUUUAAUAUCAUUUAUACAUGCUAAGGAGUAAAUUAAAAUACAUCUUGAAUUAUGUAGCAUAUAUUAAAUGCUUGUUAUAGUCCCUAUCAAAGGGUUUCAUAACAGAGUGAGGGCGCAGGGUUAUGGAGGUGAAAGGUCACGCGCAGUGAUUUUACUAUAUAUACCUAUUACACGGUAACAGUAGCUACCCAGCCACUGAAACAGACUGCAUCACUAAUGGACACAAGUCAAGGUCAGUUUGUGUUUACAUCAUUUUAAGGUUGGAAUUUAUCUACCCGCCUCCUCCCCAGCAUCCUCCUUUUGUUAUACUAUGUUACCUGUAUCAAUUUUGAACAUUUUAUGUCCACAUGAUUAUAUCAUUGAAUUUCUGGAUAUUGUAUGUGGUCAAUUUUUGUAACUACCUUUACAUCUAAGUUUCACACAUAUGAGUAUUUUGUUGUAACUUAAGUUUUUAGUUUAAGGUGGCGGUUUUGUAUCCCCACCUUGGACCAAAGUUCGAUUCAUAUGGUUGAUUUUAUGAAUAUCAACUUGUAUUGCAAGUUUGUUUCAAUUGUCGUUUAAUAAAUAAACGGCCAAUUUCAAUUCAA